rnacentral:rRNA from 1 species
UAUACAGCGAAACUGCGAAUGGCUCAUUAUAUAAGUUAUCGUUUAUUUGAUAGUGCCUUACUACUUGGAUAACCGUGGUAAUUCUAGAGCUAAUACAUGCUAAAAACCCCGACUUCGGAAGGGGUGUAUUUAUUAGAUACAAAACCAAUGCCCUUCGGGGCUCUUUGGUGAUUCAUGAUAACUAUACGAAUCGCACGGCCUUGCGCCGGCGAUGGUUCAUUCAAAUUUCUUCCCUAUCAACUUUCGAUGUUUGGGUAUUGGCCAAACAUGGUUGCAACGGGUAACGGAGGGUUAGGGCUCGACCCCGGAGAAGGAGCCUGAGAAACGGCUACUACAUCCAAGGAAGGCAGCAGGCGCGCAAAUUACCCAAUCCCGACUCGGGGAGGUAGUGACAAUAAAUACUGAUACAGGGCCCUUUCGGGCCUUGUAAUUGGAAUGAGUACAAUUUAAAUCCCUUAACGAGGAACAAUUGGAGGGCAAGUCUGGUGCCAGCAGCCGCGGGUAAUUCCAGCUCCAAUAGCGUAUA